rnacentral:lncRNA from 1 species
AUUAAAAUUUAAAUCAUUUGUUCAGCAAACACUUGUCCGUAUCCCGUAAAUCCUGGGUUUGGGCUUUGGGAGUAACUUAAGCACGGUCACUUAUCACUGCUCUCUGCUUGUUUGUUUUUAGAGACAGAGUCUCACUGGCUAUCCUCCUGCCUCAGCUUCCUGAGUGCUGGAAUCACAAGCAUUCACUCUCUCUGCUGGAGAACACCAUGACAGUGACUUGAUAGCCAUGUGGGCAUAAUUAAAUCAGAAGAAAGGCAAGAUUUAUCUUCUGCUGCAUUCACAGCAGGCAUGAAAAGCAGGUGAUAAUCAACCAAUACCUUCUGGAUACUCUGCACUUGGGUGCUGAUUCUCCUUAUCCAGGAGCUUUUAGGCUCAGAUUAAAAAAAAAAAAAGUUUGGAGAAUCUCUAAAAGGACUGAUCCACCACGGGGGGUGCCAGGCCCGGAUGGCACCUGGGGAGCACCGGGUCGCCAGCCGUGGAAAACGACCUCAACACUCAAG